rnacentral:rRNA from 1 species
CACGAACCGGACGAACGUUAUUCGGAAUUACUGGGCUUAAAGGGUGCGUAGGCGGCUCUGCAGGUGGGGUGUGAAAUCCCUCGGCUCAACCGAGGAACUGCGCCCCAAACCGCAGAGCUUGAGGAAGGCAGAGGUGAGCGGAACUCAGGGUGGAGCGGUGAAAUGUGUUGAUAUCCUGGGGAACACCAGUGGCGAAGGCGGCUCACUGGGCCUUUUCUGACGCUGAGACACGAAAGCCAGGGGAGCGAACGGG